rnacentral:rRNA from 1 species
AUGAAAGGAGUAUGGCAACUGAAGGUCCGCCAUGUGUAUGCAUCUUAUCUACGUCAACAGGAGAAUGGAAAACUAAGAGUGUCUCUCUCCCUGAUUAUCUUACUUCCUGGAUGGGACAUUCAUACAGUGCUUGCAAAUGAAAAUAGUUUUUGGUGGGUGGAUUUGUGCUGUGGAAUCCUCUCUUAUGAUCUUGACCAGCACCAAUCUGCUCUUGGGUUCAUCCCAGUUCCAACAGCAUGUUUAGAGGAUGGGUACAGACAAGAUCGUUUUGUCAGCAUCAGCACAGGAGAACUUAGGUUUGUCCAUAUCUUUAGGAAAGACGAUCUUUUCUGUGAUUAUGGUAUCAAGUCACAGCAGUGCGAAGAUUAUGUCAAGACUUGGAGUUGGAGAGAUGGGCAGCGGGUUGAAGAGUGCGAGAUGAAAUUUGCAGAUUUUUGGGAAGGCACAAGCUAUUCUUCAAGUCGUCUACCGAAGUUUGUACCAUCAUAUCCUACUGUUGAUCCUUGCAAUCAUAAUCUGGUAAACUUUUACUUACCAACUGGCCAACGUUUUGAUGGUCAUGUAAUUUGUGUCGAUUUGCCCUCUAUGGAGAUCAAAUACUGUGGCAAAGUACGCGAGGGCUUACUUCACGGGCUACGCCUAGAAAUAUUUGAGUUUUCAGGUGUUUGGAAUGUAAGAAGGAGCAAAGGAGGAUCAGCAGCAGCAGGAGUCCUGGGAGAGGUAAAGAGACUGCACUGA